AAUAGAUACCCUGGUAGUCCACGCCGUAAACGAUGAGUGCUAAGUGUUAGGGGGUUUCCGCCCCUUAGUGCUGCAGCUAACGCAUUAAGCACUCCGCCUGGGGAGUACGAUCGCAAGACUGAAACUCAAAGGAAUUGACGGGGGCCCGCACAAGCGGUGGAGCAUGUGGUUUAAUUCGAAGCAACGCGAAGAACCUUACCAGGUCUUGACAUCCCACUGACCGCUAUGGAGACAUAGUUUUCCCUUCGGGGACAGUGGUGACAGGUGGUGCAUGGUUGUCGUCAGCUCGUGUCGUGAGAUGUUGGGUUAAGUCCCGCAACGAGCGCAACCCUUGAUCUUAGUUGCCAUCAUUUAGUUGGGCACUCUAAGGUGACUGCCGGUGACAAACCGGAGGAAGGUGGGGAUGACGUCAAAUCAUCAUGCCCCUUAUGACCUGGGCUACACACGUGCUACAAUGGACGGUACAAACGGUUGCCAACCCGCGAGGGGAGCUAAUCCGAUAAAAUCGUUCUCAGUUCGGAUUGUAGG
rnacentral:rRNA from 1 species